rnacentral:rRNA from 1 species
UGGGCAAUCUGCCCUGCACUUCGGGAUAAGCCUGGGAAACUGGGUCUAAUACCGGAUAGGACCUUUAGACGCAUGUCUUUUGGUGGAAAGCUUUUGCGGUGUGGGAUGGGCCCGCGGCCUAUCAGCUUGUUGGUGGGGUGAUGGCCUACCAAGGCGACGACGGGUAGCCGGCCUGAGAGGGUGUCCGGCCACACUGGGACUGAGAUACGGCCCAGACUCCUACGGGAGGCAGCAGUGGGGAAUAUUGCACAAUGGGCGCAAGCCUGAUGCAGCGACGCCGCGUGGGGGAUGACGGCCUUCGGGUUGUAAACCUCUUUCACCAUCGACGAAGGUUCGGGUUUUCUCGGAUUGACGGUAGGUGGAGAAGAAGCACCGGCCAACUACGUGCCAGCAGCCGCGGUAAUACGUAGGGUGCGAGCGUUGUCCGGAAUUACUGGGCGUAAAGAGCUCGUAGGUGGUUUGUCGCGUUGUUCGUGAAAUCUCACGGCUUAACUGUGAGCGUGCGGGCGAUACGGGCAGACUAGAGUACUGCAGGGGAGACUGGAAUUCCUGGUGUAGCGGUGGAAUGCGCAGAUAUCAGGAGGAACACCGGUGGCGAAGGCGGGUCUCUGGGCAGUAACUGACGCUGAGGAGCGAAAGCGUGGGGAGCGAACAGGAUUAGAUACCCUGGUAGUCCACGCCGUAAACGGUGGGUACUAGGUGUGGGUUUCCUUCCUUGGGAUCCGUGCCGUAGCUAACGCAUUAAGUACCCCGCCUGGGGAGUACGGCCGCAAGGCUAAAACUCAAAGGAAUUGACGGGGGCCCGCACAA